GGCUGGAGCCCGCUUAGUCAGCGCCACAUCUGGCCCGUUUAGUGUUCUGCUUGUGUCUCCUCUGCCGGUUCUCCUGGGGUGUUGCUUAAGCAACCGACAUGUGGGGGUGGGGUGGGUUUGGGCGGGGCGAGUGCGUACCGCUGGUGUUUUCUUUGCUGGCGCGCGGUGGUGGUGGUUCUUGCGGCUAGGCUGUGGUGUAGGUUGGUGCUUGGGUUAGGUCUGGCGGUG
rnacentral:lncRNA from 1 species